UCAUUUUUGGGGUUUAGAUUCGUGUGAGUGGGUUUAGUUUAGUUAUCCUUUUUUUUCUAACUUUCUCUCUCUAAAAUCAAGAGAGAGAAAGAGAAAAAUAUAUGGCGAAGAAGAAGAUGAUGAUUCUCUCUCACUUCGCGCUCUCUAAUUCGCUUGGUGCAGGUCGGGAACCACUACUUCCGCAGUUUUCGUACGUAAUGACGACGGAACAAUCACCGGCGGAGAAUUGGAUCCCGCCUUGCAUCAACUGAAUCGGAGGCCGCGGUGAACCGUUGAAGCUUUCGGUUCUUUUCCAGCUCAGAUCUCAGCUCGGUGUUUGCAUAAUCAGAUUGCUCGUGGGAUUGGGGGAUUGGUUUCGAAUCUUAACUCAUCCAGAAUUGAGUUGAAGCAAUUGACAGUGCCUGAGUUGAAAUUUAUCGUGGUUGUUUCCUGUUUUUACAUAGAUUGGUUUGAAGUUUGGUGAAUUAUGCAAUAGACUUGUAAUAUAACAAAAUGUUUCGACUACUAUCUUUUUCCUUCUGCAAUUUUUUCUAUUCGUUGUAUGAUUGUCUUUGUUUUAGCAUUAAGUAUGAAUGAUCUUUAAAAUAGCUGGAAUGUCCCUGCUGUAGCCAGUAGCUAAGAUGAAUGUGUAGUUUUUGGACCACGAUUCCUUGCGGUCAAUUUUUUUUUCACAUCCUGUACAACUUGGUUGUUGGGUCGAAAUCAAACCGUCCAAAUUUCAGACUAGAUUUUUUUCUUUUAAAAUAUCAAAAGAGGUAUUGAAAUCUGGACGGUUCGAUCUCGAUUCAAUGAUCAAUUGUUCUAAAUGCGUGAUUGUGAUAUGUCCUAUGGUUAUAGUAUACUUCAUUUAUAAUCCUCUAUCCAAUUUUCACUUUGAAAAUGCACUCAUGGUCUGAAAUUGGCCUGAAUAUAUGUUGAACUGAUCUUAUACCCUUUCAAUGUUCUACCUAGUAAGAUGAUCUAUUAAAUAUUCGCAAAUUGAAAUUUUUUUCUUUUGAUAAAUGCGUAGUAAUUAGUUUGGCUGCUAGACAUGUUGACAGUAUCUUUACAGUAAAAACAGUUUAUUUGGGAAAGUUGAGCAGCAGUCCACAUCUGCCCAUUAUCUCAAGUAUCUAUCUACUCUAAAUUUUUGCUAAAUGGAGAAACAUUGGAUUCAGAUGCAUGUUGAUACUUGAAUGCUAUACAACCUGACUCACAUUUGCACCUUCAGAGCUUCCAUUUCACUGCAUUGGUUCCAUCUCACUGUACUUGCUCCCUCUACAUUUGUUUUAUAUGCUGAUUUAUCAGACUUUGUCAAUUUGCCAGUAACAGUUUGGGUGUCUAGAUGAUCUUCUCGGAAGCAUGAAGCAUGAGUAUUGUGUACUAUUAAAAAGGCGCAGGUACCGGUACAUACAUAGUACUACUGUGCCGUUUCGUAUUGGUUUGUGACAGUUGAAGAUCGGAAUUUUUCGAAUUCAUCUGCAACAGUUGAAAGAGAUCAAAUAUCCAACAAUAUUAUUAUUAUUUUAAUUUAAUAUAAUACUAUUUGUGUAUUUGAGUUUCUUUUUUGUUGUUGUUGCAGUUAUAGCCAUACUUGCAAACUUUAGGCUGGACACAUUCAUCUGUUAUAUGUGUUGUCCUUCAUUCUGCAGAUGUCCUUAUCCAGGGUAUAUAACCUAUUGUUGAGCUCUUCUAGUCUCCACAAGACAUGCUUUUAGGUUCAUUUUUGUAUGAUGUAAUGUCAACCUUGUAAUUUAUUAGUACUAUUUGGUUGGCAUGUUGUGUUGUGUUGUACACAUGUUUGGUUAAGAUCGGGAAGGAGAUAUUAUACUUUAUAA